GCUGGAUUUAUGAUCUGCUGUAGCCUCUGGCUCCCGACUAGUGUACCAGAGUCAGAGGUGGAGGAGAUGAGGAAGGGAGAGAUGGUGGAGGAAGGAAGCAGAAAAUAAACAGAUCGGAAGAGCA